AUGCUCACCCACUGAGCCAUGCCGGUCGGGGAGGCUGAUCCUGGGAUUCAUGGCUGGCCCACCGGCCUCCAUAUGCAGACGACCUGUUUCACUUAAACUGACCUAAAGUAAACUACUGGGAGCUUGCGAUGGUGUUUGUCGGGUUCUCACACGAAGCAGGACGUUGGCAGAUUGGCGCAUGCUCAGCAGUGGACAGCCGCCUCCGAGGGACCCAGGUUCCCGGUCUCGGGAACUGUGGUGAGUGACAAUGAGAGUCCUGCACAUCCUCCUCACUGCUCUCCUUACCAUCCUCCAGACAGCACCGGGGCUCUCAAUUUUGAAAGGCCCUGCUACCUUCGGGGUGGGAUCUGCCUGAAGCGGGGCACCCCAAACUGUAAGCCUAUCCAGGGGCCCUGCCGAGCUUUCACCAUCUGCUGCCGCAUAAAGAGGAACCAAUGAGAGUGCCCGGGGGAGAGAGCCCGGCCCUAAGACCUGGCGCGUGGCUCCUCGGGUCAAAAUAAAAGCUCUCAACACUCACGUCUGUAUAUGGAUCAUUUUGUCUUCAGGGUUGAUUAGAACAUUGUCUUCCCAGAACGGGUGGUCGGGAGGGAAUCAAUGAUAAGAAUUAAGUGUAAGUUCCGCUUUCAGUUUUGCAGGGCAUUUUCAUGAGAACCGCUCUGGGUUACCAGCCCCAAGCCACAGAUGUAGAAACUGAAACCCAGCCAGGUGCAACAGCUCACCCACAUUGAAGAGUCAGCACAAGAAGGAGCAUAAUUUAAGGCUGUGGUCAGUUCCAGAACUCUCUGCCUGCAUGGAAGGGAAGUUGUGGUUUCCUUAGAAACCUCAGGGAGUGUGCACAGGAGAGAAUUCACUGUAGUGGGCGAGUGAUGUGAGGACAGGGCUUGGUCCUGGGCCUACCGCUGCCAUGGGGAAGGAGCUUUGGGGGUAGCACAGGCUUGGGGUGGUGUUGGGAACAUGCAGGAAGAAAGCACAGUACAGAGGCUACCCAGAAAGGAAUCUCAAUGGCAGGUCAGAAGGCGCACGCUCCGAGGUAGAGCCUGGGAUGAAGUGACUAUUUCCUGUCUUCCUGCUCACUGUUCCUGUCCAGGCCAUGAACCCUCUGUGGCAUCGUAAGUGAUCUCUCCACUACGCCACAUCCUGACUCUGGUGAGGAGCCAGUCUGUGGAUCAGCAUCACCGCCUGCAAUUUACAGCACAAGUUGGAGGAGGCUGGGGAGGAGGCAGCAGGUGCCCAAGGUGCCCAGGAAGUUGGGAGACAGAAAAAAGAUGUUAUAUUUGCCUUCUUCCAAAAUCUAAACAGUCCAUGGAAAAGAAUGAAGCUUGGCUGGCACUGUGACAAGUAACAGUCCGGGCCAACUGUAUGGCUGGGUCCCAUCAAUGAGUAACCACUAGGACUCAGCUCAGUGUGCGGACCCACAAUGGGCUGUCACGGCUGUCAGUCAGUGUAGGUGAAGAUGGUGGACACAGACAGAGUGUGAUUCCCCACAUUCCUGAUCGGCACUAUCCUCUUCACAGUCUGUGUCCAAGGAUCAUCGCAGGCUUUGCUAUGCCCAGUGUCUGUGGGGAGAGUCAACGGUGAGUCCUGUCCUUGAGUGGAACAGUCUACCAUCGCCAGGAGAACUUAGGAACCUAUGAGUGAUUUAAAAAUAAUUCAUUUCCUAAUUUGUGUUUCUUCACUAUGAAGUCGAAACCUUCUUUGCUUUGUCACAUAAUUCUCCCAGCAUUCACAGAGUCACUGACAUCUCUCCGUUUCAAAGUCUCUGGUCAGCCCCAUGUAGCCCAUGCCUCUAUGCCUCUCUCUUCCUUCUGUUUCUUCUUCCUUUUUUUAAAAAAAUGUUUUUA